rnacentral:rRNA from 1 species
AGCAGCCGCGGUAAUUCCAGCUCCAAUAGCGUAUAUUAAAGUUGUUGCAGUUAAAAAGCUCGUAGUUGAAUUUCGGGAUUCGUCGGUUGGUCGGGCUUCACUGUCCGCACUGACCUGACGGAUUCCUACCUUCUGAAUAACCAGCAUGCUAUUAAGUUAGUGCGUUGGGGAAGCAGAGCUAUUACCUUGAAAAAAUUAGAGUGCUUAAAGCAGGCUUGUGCUUGAAUAGAUUAGCAUGGAAUAAUAAAAUAGGACGGCAUGGUUCUAUUUUGUUGGUUUCUAGGAUCACCGUAAUGAUUAAUAGGGAUAGUUGGGGGCAUUAGUAUUCAAUUGUCAGAGGUGAAAUUCUUGGAUUUAUUGAAGACUAACUUCUGCGAAAGCAUUUGCCAAGGAUGUUUUCAUUAAUCAAGAACGAAAGUUAGGGGAUCGAAGACGAUCAGAUACCGUCGUAGUCUUAACCAUAAACUAUGCCGACUAGGGAUCGGACGAUGUUAAUUUUUUAAUGACUCG